ACUCAAAUGAAUAGACGGGGGCCCGCACAAGCGGUGGAGCAUGUGGUUUAAUUCGACGCAACGCGCAGAACCUUACCAGGGUUUGACAUCCUGUGCUACGUGCAGAGAUGCACGGUCCCCGCAAGGGGCGCAGAGACAGGUGCUGCAUGGCUGUCGUCAGCUCGUGUCGUGAGAUGUUGGGUUAAGUCCCGCAACGAGCGCAACCCUCGCCUUUAGUUGCCAUCAUUUAGUUGGGCACUCUAGAGGGACCGCCGGCGACAAGCCGGAGGAAGGUGGGGAUGACGUCAAGUCCUCAUGGCCCUUACACCCUGGGCUACACACGUGCUACAAUGGCGGUGACAGUGGGCAGCGACCACGCGAGUGGAUGCGAAUCCCAAAAAACCGUCCCAGUUCAGAUUGCACUCUGCAACUCGGGUGCAUGAAGGUGGAAUCGCUAGUAAUCGCAGAACAGCAGGCUGCGGUGAAUACGUUCCCGGGCCUUGCACACACCGCCCGU
rnacentral:rRNA from 1 species